UGUAUUUCUCUGCGUUUUUCUAUAUAUAUGCUGUAUAUCAGCAUAUAUCCAUGCAUACAGGAUGAUUUUCUUUCAAAAAUGAUCCGUUUUGGGAUUUUAGCAUGGACCAAGUCUUGACUCAAAUAUACCGGGGCCUCCUUGAGCCGUCAUGGAGUAUGCAAGGGAUGAUUUGGAAGUUCACAUGCGGCAAAGCAAGGAAAAAAGAAUUAGAAACAACUAAAUACUUUAAGAAGAAUCUGAACUUGAUUUCAAACCAAACAUAUCAAGUAAUCCUUUGUUAGAACAUGCCCACAAUAAGAUAAGUGUUAUAAGCUCUGCUAUUUUUCUUGAACAACCUUGCCCUUUUAAUAUUCCCAGGAACAUAACAUGUCUGUGCUGGCAGCAAAGUCGAAUGAAAAAGAUUCAAACAAGAAUGCUCUAUGGCCUUUAAGAAAGAAAUGAAACAUUUAAAGCUAGUUUCUUAAACAUACAUGAAACAUUUCAACUCUAGAAAGAAAAUGAACAAAUGAGCCUUAAUUGGAUUUGAAAAUACUACUGGAAGGAGAAAGGAAAUCUUACAACUUAUUGCUUAUAUUCUAAUAAAUGGGUGGAUCUUAGACUAGUGAAUUCUAAAAAAAAUUGCACGCGUAUGACAUUACACGGAUGACAUUAGACUUAAGCCAAAGCGAUUCGAGUAAAUUCAACUUCACAGGAUAAACAAUCACAGUGAAAAUGACAAAAUGCCUACGCCCAGAUGAACGCCAAAUGAAUCUCUAGAUCCAACGAAUAUGAACUUGAAUCGACACACCCAACGCUUAUCAUCGAUCAACACACAACAUUACUUCAGUAAAUAAAUUUCAAAACUUUUAAUUUUGAAUUUUUACCAUGUUUAUAAUCAAAAGAAUAGGUAAACCAGAAAUACAAAAAGACUUCAUUUAGCAUUUGACCAACACAAAGCCAAAUGAUGAAUACAAAGUAAUAAAGAAAGAGAAAAAAAUUCUUCAAAGCUAAUAAAAUUUGGAACUUUUCGACAACAUAGUAAUAAAUUAAUUAAAAACACUCAAAAUCACAAGGCCUCACCCAGCAUUAUACACAUGUUCAAGCAAAACCAUAAAUGACACGUCAAAAAGUAUCACUUUUAAGAAAAAGUUAUCAAGAUGAAAUCUUCACACAAAUUCCAUUAUCAAACCAGCCUCACAACAACCACGGGAAUCAAAAUACUAAUAGAAUCUCAUGGUGUAACUUUCAAACACGAAGAAGAGAAAAUGUAAAAAGAGAGUUUUUACCUUUUUCGGGGUAGGAACCGGGACUAGAGUCUAUCACGAUGGAUUCCCACCACCAAAACUUGACCUGAACUUACCAGCGUUGAAUCGUUCUCGCGGGAAUUCAGACGAUUUCAAUGCAUUUAGACGAAUUUCACCGAGAACUUCUUGGUUACGUGAGAUCAGAGGAGCAGAGCGCUCUUCCAAAAUCCCCAAUUUUCCCCCAAAAAGUCCUCCCCCUUACCCUCAUCUCUCAACGUCUAUUUAUAGGGAAAAAAUUAGGGCUUCAAAUUUUAAAAAU
rnacentral:lncRNA from 1 species